rnacentral:rRNA from 1 species
AGUGAACGCUGGCGGUAGGCCUAACACAUGCAAGUCGAACGGCAGCACAGUAACAGCUUGCUCUUACGGGUGGCGAGUGGCGGACGGGUGAGGAAUACAUCGGAAUCUACUUUUUCGUGGGGGAUAACGUAGGGAAACUUACGCUAAUACCGCAUACGACCUACGGGUGAAAGCAGGGGAUCUUCGGACCUUGCGCGAUUGAAUGAGCCGAUGUCGGAUUAGCUAGUUGGCGGGGUAAAGGCCCACCAAGGCGACGAUCCGUAGCUGGUCUGAGAGGAUGAUCAGCCACACUGGAACUGAGACACGGUCCAGACUCCUACGGGAGGUAGCAGUGGGGAAUAUUGGACAAUGGGCGCAAGCCUGAUCCAGCCAUACCGCGUGGGUGAAGAAGGCCUUCGGGUUGUAAAGCCCUUUUGUUGGGAAAGAAAAGCAGCAGGUUAAUACCCCGCUGUUCUGACGGUACCCAAAGAAUAAGCACCGGCUAACUUCGUG